UUACAUCAUUUGCUCAUUUCAGAUAGGUUCACCUCACUUGCUUCUGACAAAACGCCAAGUUUUCAAUCUAAUAUGAUGUGUUUCGGCAGAGACUUCAUUUUCUACCUUUUUCUGUUCAUCUGCGCUUUUCAUAUUCUUGUUGCAACAAAUGGAGGAAGAUACGGAAAAGUGACCAAAGAAAAGGGGGUGUCCAACCACCCGGACGAUAGGAAGUGGUCUAACAGACUGGACAAUGCCAUGGGUUGGAAGGGGGGUUACAAGGAUACAAGUCGCGUGAGAGAAUUUGUUCACACUGAAUACCACAACAGAAUGGCCGACAAGAAACAGAAAAACGGAAACCCAGGAUUGUCCACGUUCAAUCAUUUGCUUUAAAAUAUGAGGCUCAAAUUUUGCCAAUUGAAAGAACUUUGCUGCAAAAACUAUCUUUUAG